GCAGCAGUUCCUCUGAUAAACCAUUUGGCUGAAACAUUUCUAUUUUUCUGAGAUGGAAAACGGCUCGUGAUUGCCUGUUCCCCCAGUGAGAGCAUCGGUGGAGUCAGGGAUCUCCUGCAGUACAUCUGGUACUAUCAUAUCUAUCAAGAGAGACUCGGCUUAGGCAAUGCAUCCAGCAUCCUACAGAUAGUAAAUGGGGAUGCCAAAUCCAUAUUGAGACUUAGCAAGGUGGCUUGAGGCAAACAAAUACGGAUCUGACAGGGAUGCUGCAGUGUGGUUCGAAAGAUAACAUGCAUACCCAAAAAUUGAUGGAGCUCAAUGAUGUAAUGAAGGU
rnacentral:lncRNA from 1 species